GAUGAACGCUGGCGGCGCGCCUAACACAUGCAAGUCGAACGGCACCCCUCCUCGGAGGGAAGCGAGUGGCGAACGGCUGAGUAACACGUGGAGAACCUGCCCCCUCCCCCGGGAUAGCCGCCCGAAAGGACGGGUAAUACCGGAUACCCCGGGGUGCCGCAUGGCACCCCGGCUAAAGCCCCGACGGGAGGGGAUGGCUCCGCGGCCCAUCAGGUAGACGGCGGGGUGACGGCCCACCGUGCCGACAACGGGUAGCCGGGUUGAGAGACCGACCGGCCAGAUUGGGACUGAGACACGGCCCAGACUCCUACGGGAGGCAGCAGUGGGGAAUCUUGCGCAAUGGGGGGAACCCUGACGCAGCGACGCCGCGUGCGGGACGGAGGCCUUCGGGUCGUAAACCGCUUUCAGCAGGGAAGAGUCAAGACUGCACCUGCAGAAGAAGCCCCGGCUAACUACGUG
rnacentral:rRNA from 1 species